rnacentral:rRNA from 1 species
AGUCGUGAGGAAGGUAGUGUAGUUAAUAGCAGCAUUKUUUGACGUUAGCGACAGAAGAAGCACCGGCUAACUCCGUGCCAGCAGKMGCGGUAAUACGGAGGGUGCGAGCGUUAAUCGGAAUUACUGGGCGCAAAGCGCAUGCAGGUGGUUUGUUAAGUCAGAUGUGAAAGCCCGGGGGUCAACCUCGGAAUAGCAUUUGAAACUGGCAGACUAGAGUACUGUAGAGGGGGGUAGAAUUUCAGGUGUAGCGGUGAAAUGCGUAGAGAUKUGAAGGAAUACCGGUGGCGAAGGCGGCCCCCUGGACAGAUACUGACACUCAGAUGCGAAAGCGUGGGGAGCAAACAGGAUCAGAUACCCUGGUAGUCCACGCCGUAAACGAUGUCUACUURGAUGUUGUGGCCUUGA